rnacentral:rRNA from 1 species
AUUGAACGCUGGCGGCAUGCUUUACACAUGCAAGUCGAACGGUAACAGGCCGCAAGGUGCUGACGAGUGGCGAACGGGUGAGUAAUGCAUCGGAACGUGCCCAGUCGUGGGGGAUAACUACUCGAAAGAGUAGCUAAUACCACAUACGAUCUAUGGAUGAAAGCGGGGGACCGUAAGGCCUCGCGCGAUUGGAGCGGCCGAUGUCAGAUUAGGUAGUUGGUGGGGUAAAGGCUCACCAAGCCAACGAUCUGUAGCUGGUCUGAGAGGACGACCAGCCACGCUGGGACUGAGACACGGCCCAGACUCCUACGGGAGGCAGCAGUGGGGAAUUUUGGACAAUGGGCGCAAGCCUGAUCCAGCAAUGCCGCGUGCAGGAAGAAGGCCUUCGGGUUGUAAACUGCUUUUGUACGGAACGAAACGGCUCUGGUUAAUACCCGGGGCUAAUGACGGUACCGUAAGAAUAAGCACCGGCUAACUACGUG